AGGAUCUGUUGCCUCCUGCUCUUUACCGGUGACCAGGAAAUCAGCAAAAACCACCGCCAGUAGUCCACCAAUCAGAACAGCUGAAGGAGAGACAGAGAGCCAGUCAGGAUGUUCUUCUGUGGCAGCUGGGCGGCAGAGCUUCCUCCAUCCACAGUGUUGCCCAUCAGAUCAGGAUCCACCGGCACUAUACCUCGACCCAGGUCAUUACGCCGAUCAUCACGGAUCUCAAAAUCUCCACUUGGUCCUGCAGCACCCACCUCGUUUAUGGCCUCCUGAGACAGAGAGAACAAAGUCAAACUAAGGAGGGGAAAACUUACAUUUGAUGUAAUCACAUUUGUUCCAUGGAGCUGAACUGAAACUCAUCCAAACCAACACAAACUGAGAAAUUUCCAUGGCACACAUUCAUCAUUUGGAACAAUGAGCCUCUGUAUGUCCUGACUGAUGGAAAGUCGCUCAUUGUCCAACAUGUAUACACACUUCAUAAAACCUGGCAGCUUAAUUACAAUGUGGAAAACCAGACAAAUCUAAAUGCAUCAUACUUGAAUGCAGGACCGCUCCAAAUAAACAGAAGCAAACCAAUCAGUGAAAUGACUCUGGUCUGUAAAUAAUUAAGCUGUCAGCGGUACAGAGGCAGUCAGAUGGAGUAAGGGGUAUCAAACCUCAACAGUUUAUAGCUACUGAACAAAAAUGACUCCAUUAGUAAAGAGUAAAGAGAGCUAGCUUGUUAACUAGAUUUGUGAGCCAAUUUCCUGAACUUGAAUUAAAUCAAUUUUUCUCUUCAAAUCUGGUAAUGAAAUGAAUGAAGAAAAAAAAUCACUUAUUUGGUCGCUCAGACAUCAACUGUGUAACCAAAACCUAAUAGUGCUUUUGAUUCAGUGCCUUGGAGCUCCUUUUUAUGUCCAAGAAAUCUUUAAAACACUUUGAUGUGCUGCUCCUGUCCAGUGGGUGACUUAUUCCUUUAUCUCCAUGAGCACUGUGGUUUCCUUUUUGCACCAGAGUCACAAACACCACUCUGUUGUUGUAUAUAUUAUUAAUGUCACCAAUAGAGUACCACAUGUUAGUUCAUACAUAAAUGGUUCCAAACUGAUGCACAA